rnacentral:tRNA from 1 species
GCGCCCGUAGCUCAGCUGGGUAGAGUAUCUGAUUAAUAAUCAGAGGGUCGGGAGUUCGAAUCUCUUCGGGCGUACCA